UUUAAGUAAGAAUUCAUUUAGGUAUACGUUCAAUGUUUCCAAUGAUGAGCCACUCAUCCACUAAACCCAGAGAUAAUUCCUGAGGCAUGUUUAAAGAGUUUUGUAUUUCAUCAAGAAGGUGCUGCUGAUUCACAAAGAUUUUAUAUUUAAGAAAAUCUGAGCAUCAUUCCAAAUAACUGUUAACAUGUUUGUCAACUAAACAUGUUUUGUAAACGUAAUAAACUUUAUAAAAAUAUUUUUUAUUUUUUAUUAAUAAUCAAGUAUAAAGAACAAUGCAUAGUGUGAAAACGCGGAUUAUAAAAAGUAUAUUAAAGAAAAGGACUACAUUUCCCAGAAUGCACCUGCACCUACUCAUCUGCCCCCACCCUUCAGGUGUGACUGCUCAACCUAUGGGCUUGACGGGAAAAUUCAAAAUCGCGAACCGUUACUGCCUGGACUACUCCGUCUCUUAUUUGUUUGUUUGCUCAUCAACAGUAAGGUAAGUUUGAUUUAAUUCAUUUGUCUGCAUCGCGCUGAUCGGUUGCCUAUUUGUUCAUAUUAUGUUAUUAACUAUGAUUCGUUUUUGUCUUUAUACUAGAACUGUUUGAAUUUAAACCACAAACAGUAAAACAUUAAGGUUAUACGUGGUACACAGCGGUAAACAUGAGGUUAAAAAUACGCGAAGUAACAUUCAAACCGGGCUGUUAAAAGAAUCAAUUCGAUGUUUAAAUUUUUAAAAACAAAACUUUAAAGAAGCCAAGAUGAGACGUUAUUUGCUUAAAACAAACAAAACAACAGUAACUCGUGUGUUUGAAAUGUUAGCAGCUAGCAAGUGUCUCUCUGCUAUUUUAAAUGGUACUGACGAUCUUUUGUUGUUUUAAAAGCUCAUUCAGUUCUGGUAGAUGCUGCUUAUUUUUCAAGACUGUUUUAAUAGCUUUAUAUUGAUUUGUAACAAAGCCAGCUUCACUUUAAGAGAACCUAGAUGCUAAUUGUAAAGAAGCUUGGAGUCAUAAUAUAUUUAAACGUUAUAUGUUUGCUGUUCUUCAUCUUUUUAAAUAUGAAGUCUAUACAUGUUUGUGUUUACAGAGGUCAUGUACACUGUGGUCAACUUUGUGGACGAUGAAGAGGUUUCUGGGUAAAGCUGAUAGAAAUAUAACGAAGUAACAGUGAAAGCUAAAACAUCAGACUGAUCCAGACACUGAAGAAAUUGAUGUCACUGCAAUCUGGCCAAAAUGAUACAACUAUAUUGAAGUAGCCUACUGUAAUGAAGCUGCAGAACAACACAGAGACUCUGAGGACAUCAACACAGAAAAUUAAGGCUCCAAAGAGAUGUCUGUCCAGAUGAGGGUGCAUCAACGUUACCUUUGCUGACAAGUAUAUGCUUUACAAUGUAAAACCUAACAGUUAACUUAACUCAAACCAUUUAAGGAAAUCGGUUGCCUUAACCCAU